rnacentral:rRNA from 1 species
UACGAAGGGUGCAAGCGUUACUCGGAAUUACUGGGCGUAAAGCGUGCGUAGGCGGUUUGUUAAGUCUGAUGUGAAAGCCCUGGGCUCAACCUGGGAAUGGCAUUGGAUACUGGCAACCUAGAAUGUGGUAGAGGGUGGCGAAUUCCCGGUGUAGCAGUGAAAUGCGUAGAUAUCGGGAGGAACAUCCGUGGCGAAGGCGGCCACCUGGACCAACAUUGACGCUGAGGCACGAAAGCGUGGGGAGCAAACAGG